GUUUCUAUAGCUUAUAUAGAGUUUUUCAGUGAAGUUGAAAAGGAAUAUUUUUUUUAUUGGAAAUAU
rnacentral:tRNA from 1 species